AACGAACGAGGGAGGCAGGCUUAACACAUGCAAGUCGAGCGCAUCCUUCGGGGUGAGCGGCGGACGGGUGAGUAACGCGUGGGAACGUGCCCUCUUCUACGGAAUAGCCUCGGGAAACUGAGAGUAAUGCCGUAUACGCCCGCAAGGGGAAAGAUUUAUCGGAGGAGGAUCGGCCCGCGUUGGCUUAGGUAGUUGGUGGGGUAACGGCCUACCAAGCCGACGAUCCAUAGCUGGUUUGAGAGGAUGAUCAGCCACACUGGGACUGAGACACGGCCCAGACUCCUACGGGAGGCAGCAGUGGGGAAUCUUGGACAAUGGGGGCAACCCUGAUCCAGCCAUGCCGCGUGAUCGAUGAAGGCCUUAGGGUUGUAAAGAUCUUUCAGCUGGGAAGAUAAUGACGGUACCAGCAGAAGAAGCCCCGGCUAACUCCGUG
rnacentral:rRNA from 1 species